rnacentral:rRNA from 1 species
GAUGAACGCUGGCGGCGUGCCUAAUACAUGCAAGUCGAGCGAACAGAUGAGGAGCUUGCUCCUCUGACGUUAGCGGCGGACGGGUGAGUAACACGUGGAUAACCUACCUAUAAGACUGGGAUAACUUCGGGAAACCGGAGCUAAUACCGGAUAAUAUAUUGAACCGCAUGGUUCAAUAGUGAAAGACGGUUUUGCUGUCACUUAUAGAUGGAUCCGCGCCGCAUUAGCUAGUUGGUAAGGUAACGGCUUACCAAGGCAACGAUGCGUAGCCGACCUGAGAGGGUGAUCGGCCACACUGGAACUGAGACACGGUCCAGACUCCUACGGGAGGCAGCAGUAGGGAAUCUUCCGCAAUGGGCGAAAGCUUGACGGAGCAACGCCGCGUGAGUGAUGAAGUUCUUCGGAUCGUAAAACUCUGUUAUUAGGGAAGAACAAAUGUGUAAGUAACUAUGCACGUCUUGACGGUACCUAAUCAGAAAGCCACGGCUAACUACG